rnacentral:tRNA from 1 species
GGGCCAGUGAUCUAGUUUGGUAGGUCUAAGAUGCCCGCUUGACGUGCGGGAAAUCGGGAGUUCAAUUCUCCCCUGGCCCA